UUAAAAAAGCCUGCUAAAACACCCAUGGGCACUGCCUAAUUGCAUGGCUGCUUUAGUCCAGAAGGAAGAUAAUUCUAUGGCUCAGGCUGCUUCUGUUGAGAUCUGUGACAACAACUCUCACUGUACCUGCAUCUGCUACUUUGUCAUUUGCCUGUUUCCACAGGACUUUGAGGUAGGGGCAAAAUGGUAAAAUGUUAUAGGUGAUAUCUUUUGAUUUUUCAUAAAUACAGUUUCAGUGUGGCAAUGUUGCAUGAUGUCUGCCUCUUUCUUCUACAAUCACCAAAGUCCAAUGAGAAAGCAAAGGUCAAGAAGUUCUUUGAUGUCUGACCAAGAUCAAUUCACCAAGAAGAGACUGUUUCAUUUUAAUAUUCUGCUGGAGGUAGUCUUCACAUGCUUGUGGUAGAAAUACCCCCUUGCCUAUCCUCAACUUGGUUCAGCCCAUUGUUCUAAAAGGCUUAGCAGGGGAUGACUAAUGAGCAGGCUAUGACUUCUUGGAGACAAAGGUGAGAGUUGGGUGAAUCAAGUGACCACUAAAGGUGGAAAGUAGAACCCGAAUAAGAGCUGUAACAAAACAGGGAUUCUCCUGAGACAACUAAAGAUAUGAAGAAAGACUCCAGGAUGGAGGAAGGUCUGUGAAAAAUAUACAAGUGAUGGAAAUGGAAUUAACUACUUGCCUGAGUACAGAGUAUGGCAGGAAGGAGAAGGGAGUGAUUGAGAGUCCUGGGAAAGACAGGCCCUAGGAUGGUGAUCAGUGUACCACCGUAACCUCCCUCCGAGUGUACCUCACUGAGCAAUGGUUCUUGCGGAAUGCCUGGACACAGCGGCUUGCAAGCACAAGUCUUAUUCUAUGCAAUCACAUCCUGCACUACCACUGAACUCCUUCCAAACUCCUGAGGACAACAUAUGCCAAUAUUCAUCCUGGGAAAAAAGGGAGCAUUAUUUUUUUUUGGAAGGAAGAAGGAGAAAGGAAGGAAUGAGCAUCCUGGGAAAGGCAGGUGCUAGGAUGUUCAUCAGUGGUGCCACAAAAUCCACUUUAGUUCUUUGGUCACUCCAUUCAUCAAGGCAGCUCAGGAAAACUGUUUGAAAAGCACAGGAGAAAGUAGGAGGUGCUCCAAAGGAGGAGGAGGCAAACAUUUGCUCAAGCUUAUCUGGAGUUUCCUAUCCUCUCACAGCCAGGGAGGUCUCAAUUGGAAAGGACUUCUGAGAAGAGGUUGUAGAUUCUAAAGAAGUAGCAUCCUAUGAAGAGAAAGGACUAGGCUGGGACAGAAAAGGGUCAAAAUGACUGACCUGAAAGAAGCCAUGAAGAAGAAAAAGAAUUAACAAAAAGCAUCAUAUGGUCUUUUCCCACAAUAAUUGUAUUGUGUUCAGCUAGGUGCAUAUCAUAGUGGAGAAAAGAUAAAUAUGAGAAAAGUUUUUAUAACAUAAUAUUCUUGUGUAAUUCUCAUUAUUGAAAUAAGAACUUAACAAAUAAAUGUUUUACAUUCCACGGAAGAAACAGACAAUAAUGAGGAAGGAGGACAAAUAUCAUUUAUGAAAUUAUUUAAAUAAUGGUGAUUUUAAUUAAAUUCUUUGCUUCUGAAUGACUUUUAAAGACAUAUGUUUUCUUUGUAAAGUCAAUCACCUCUUGGCAUUAUUUAAUCCUUCUCAACAUUAGGCUAAUGUUCCAAAAUGUUUUAAA
ensembl:lncRNA